rnacentral:lncRNA from 1 species
AGUAGCAAAGCUACUAUAGCAUAGUGGCUCUAGGAUCGAACACUGGGAAGGGUUUUUACUUUAACUGGUGAAGUUCGGAGGAUGGAGUGAACUUUUCUUAAUAAAAAUUAGGUUAAGAUGAAAACAUAAAAAAUGAAGGUGUUGUAAACUAAACUAACAUGAAAAUAGGUUAAAAGAUGGAAAAAGAAGUUUCUCAAAGCUUUGGAUAGCCAUGAUUAACUCACUGUGUAAAAAUGGAGAUUUUGGAACUUUUCACCUCGAGUUGGGGAAGCAACUAAGGUGAUGCUUACUUCCUGAACCGGUAUGAGUUUAACAACUGAGUUUUAGUCCUUGAAAACUUACAAAAAGGGUAGCUGAACCUCAUAAAUGCUCUUUUAAUGAUAUAUGUCAUCUCCUCGACUUGCAAUACAAUGGCUCGUAGGAGAUAACUAAUGAACGUCAGUGGAUCUAAUAAUAAGAAUCCACUAAGACCAAAAGGUUAUCAAGUAUUGGCCAUUCAAAGCAAGUCAGAGGGAUUAAAAGCUUUGCUUUGAAUGAAAACAUUUAUGACGCUUAGCUACUUACAUUAAUGGCUUGGAAAUCUCCAUCCUGACACGGGAGCUUCACAUGGCAUCCAUUACUUCAAGAAACUAAAAGGUUUUAACCUCUCAUCCUUGGGGAUUUCAUCCUCCAAGGAUGUUUGGCUACUAAGAAAAUGAGAAAGAAAAGAGAAAAGAAACAUAUGAACAAAAAUGCUCUUAUAACUUAUAAAGUUACAGGUUACAAGAUUACAAGAUUUCUUUGUCUGAGGCUCUUCACCUCUAUUUAAAGACAAUAAAAAGCUAAAUUACAAGAGCUAUUACAAAAGCAACCUUUUCAUUGGUUGAUUACAAGGGUAAAAUAGGUAUUUACAAAGCUAAAAAUCAAGCAAAAUAUCUUGGAGAACCGGCAGUGGAAUAUCAUCAAUAGCGUAUCAAAACAGGGGAUUUCAAAGGCAUUUUGCAAGGGGGGAAGAUGAAGGGUCCAAAUUUCGCAAGGUGAAAAGCCACCUUGCGAAAUUUGGCAUUUUCGCAAGGUGCCUAAUUCCACCUUGCGAAAUUUCGCAAGGUGGUUUCUUCAUGGUGCGAAAUUGCCAAAUUUCGCACCAUGAGGAAAAUCCCCUUGCGAAAAUUUGGCAAGGUGAAAUUCUCCUUGCAAAAUUGGUUCUUUUGGCAAGUGAAUUGCCUCCCUUUGCGAAAUGGUGUUCCCAUUGCUUGUGCUCGUGUUUCCACUUGAAAUUCAAGUUUGUAAACGUCCAAAAUCCUUGCUUAACUCGCCCAAGUAGCUCCUCCAUCAAUUGGCAUGCUUGAAUUGGUUCAUAAGCUGAUGAAAAACAUGUAAACUUGCCACUAAAAAUGUUUAGAACUAAUUACUAAGGAGCUUAAUGAGUUAAUUAGGUUAAAUGAAUAUGAUUACUACUCAAAGGUGCUUAAAACCCUUAUAAUUAGGUCUACAAAAUAGCACUUUUCGGUAGUAAUCACACCCCCCAACCGACUCAUUGCUAGUCCCUUAGCAAUGGAGGAGAUAAAAACUAAGUAAACAUAAUAAUAUACAUAAAAGAGGUCAUGCAAAUCACUCCAAAAAAUAAUUGAGUGGCAUGACUGAUAUCAAAACCCAUCUCACAUGGUGAACUAAAGAUAUGAAGAUUCAAAAUGCAAUAGGAGUUGUCAAAGCUAAAACUUAAACAAAAAGUACAAAGAGUGGAGAUUAUGCAAUUAAGUAUCAAAAGAAUCUCUACUCUCAAGGUUCCGGAUCAAACUCUUCCAUAAUGAGCUAAGUGUUAAUGAGAUUAGCUUCCGGAUAUAGUAUGUACAACUAUCCUCUCCCCCCAACCUAAGCUUUUCUCGAACAUUGGCAAAAUUAACCAACUCUUAAUAGGCUAGGAACACACCUUCUUAUUCACAAUUCUUUUUACUCACUAAACUUAACCAAUUCACCUAUGUAGCAAGCAGAGGAUCGAUGACUCCCAACCAAUCAAGGUUUAGGGCAUCGGGUUUUAAAGGCUUUUGCCACCCCUUCGGAUCAUGCUUAGGUUUCAAGGAAAGAAUAGAAGCUUAUUCUUUUUUUCUUUUUUUUUUCUUAAGACUCAUUGGUCUUUUUGAGGUGUCCCAACACUAUUAAAAAGAGGUUAAGUAAUGAACCAAGUCAAAAUUUUCCUAAGCUUAGAGGGUGAGAAAGUUUUACAUCAUAUAUCCGGGAUCUAAUGUGCACGGUGUGUGUAAAGCUUGAAAUGGAAGAAAUAAGUUCGAAAUCAAAGAGGGCUUCAAUAGAUUAUCAACUUUGUAAGCAUAAAACAAACUCUAAGACUUAAGUAAUUAAGUUAAAACUCGACUUAUCCUAUUUUAUUUUGAGAAAUUAUCUUUAACAACCAUAGAGAAUGAAAUAAAAAAUUUUGAAAAAGGUCAAAAACUACUAAAUCAACAAAAUAACUAACUAAAAUAGGAAAUACUUACUUCCUCAACUCUCCCCCCAACCGAGAUGAACAUUGUCCCCAAUGUUUCUAUCGAAAAAGACGAGGAAGGAAUGAUAUACCUUAUGGUGAUGUGGUAUUCAAGGUGUGUGAGUGCAUCCACAUGAUUCAAAAACCAUAAGAAACGUGAGAGAGGAAAUAAGAUACAAAAAAUGAUGCUUAUAUAAACUGAGAGAGUUGAGUACAAGAUAUAAGCAUGAGGUACAUACAAUCUUAGAAUAUAAAACAUGUAACAUAUACAAAAAACAUAUACAAAAUGGAGAUAGAAAUAUCCAAUCAUGGAUGUGGCUCCUAAGGUGGAGGAGGUGAUAUGCCCAGGUGAUGGUGGAUCUGAGAGAGCAUGGCGGAGUGCUGGUCCAGGAUAGCUGUAUGCUGAGCCUGAUGUGUCUGUAAGGUAUCCAUCUGUCGUCUGAUGGCCUACAUCUCACGGACUAAGGUGGCCUGAGAGGCGCUCAAUGAGUGAAAGGACGACAUGAGAGCUCUGAACUCUGUAGCGGAGACAAUGAUGGAUGGCCCGACUGAAGACUCAGCAUAGGCUGAAGUAGGAGUGACUGGUGGUGUGGGAGUAUCAGUAGUGCAAGUCACUGGAGCAGGUACUGAAGAAGAAGACUCUGUGGUAUGUGGGUCCUGCUCUGGUGAUGUCUGUACUGUAAGUGCUGAGGCUGCUGGAAACUCGGGAGGCGCUGGAGAAGCUGGAAGCCUAGGAGCUAAUGGUCUAAGGAUACCCUGGUCCAUGGGUGAGCGGUCUAAGAACUGGGUCCAACUCUCACUGGUAAAGAGCUCUCGACAAUGAUGAUGACGCUCUAGGUGGGGCUGAGAAGGGUAUCCCAUAUCCUCUAAGACCUGAGAGAUUAGCCUCGGAAAUAAGAGUGGAAUAGUACCAGCUCUGCGUAGGCGCUUCCUAUGCACCUUCUCCUCAAAAUAGGUAAGAGCAGCCAUGACUAGAUGGUGGGGUCCAAAGUAGAAUCCCUCAGAGAUGCGGUAAAGCGCAUCUAGGAUAGCACCUCUCCUCUGGACAACAUGCUGGAGUGGAAAAAGGUUGGUGCGGAGCACCGAAUCGUUAAACAACAUCCAUGGAGGAAGCUCCCUCCUCAAAAUGGUCAUACCAGUGACUCUACCUCCUGAUAAGGUAGACACCAUGUCGGGCUCUGAAUACUGAGACCAAUGCCAGAAGGAACCAAGGUCCUCAGGGAUAGGUGGAAAAUGCAUAGAGGCGGCUAUAUCUCGGGCCUCUAAAAUACCAUGCUGGCCAUCAAUCACAAAAUGAAUGGCUAUGGGGUCCUGGACGCCUCUAGUAGUCAUAGUCUGGUAGAAAUCUAAGACUACCCUAGGGUAAUAGAAGGACCUAGGAGUCAUAAAUGGCUCGAUGUGGUACCUCUACAGAAGGCGGUAUGACUCCUCUAGCUCUGGUAAUAGGCGGAGAGUCUCAUGCUCCAUACAGAUCUCCUUGUGAAAUGGCCUAUCUCUGAUAUCCGUGUUGCCUGGGAGGGGUGGCCCUGCUAUCAUAGGCCGCUUGAGGACCUCUGCUAGGUGUGAAGAGCUUGGGAUAGUAGAUGCUGGAGGUGAUGGAGGGGCUCUGGAGGACUCGCCUAGUCCUGAAAUCCUAGUCCUCUUAGGUGGAGGACUGCUCACAGGGGGUGGAACUGGUGCCCUGGAAGACCCAGAUGAUCGUUUGGUCUUAUACCCGUGCUGAGUAGAGGGAACUGGGGUUUGGGCAGGCUGAGAUGGUGUAGAAUGACCACCUCUCUGUGAGUGGGCCCCACGCUGACUAGCUGAAGAGGAUGCCUCCCGUGUCCGUGCCAUGGUAUAAAUACUGAAAUAAAACUGAAAAACACGAAAAAUAGAGCAUCCCAGGGGUAAAGUGUCAAAAAUACAGUUGAAAUGGUAACCAGUGCAAAAUUUGCAAGGCAUGAAUAGUGGUUGCUAAAUUUGGCAACGGGCACUAUUCACGCAGCACUAUUCACAGGCAUUAUUCAUCUUCUUCUCCAAUGCUUACUUUGAAUUUGAGUUUUCAUUUUUAACGGUUUAAAAUUCAGAAAAAGGGUAUGGUUUUAAUGGAAACAUGAUUCUAAAUGCAAUGGAGUAAGUUUGGGAGCCUAAAACACAUUGCAAGAUAGAGAUUUUUGCAAAAAUGGUGGCUGGCCAUGUGGGUCUUUGAUUUGAAAAAAUGGAUUUUUGAAAUGGUUUUAAUGGAUGAAAAUGCAUGUUUAUGGUUCCUAAAACAUAGAAAUGACAUAAACAAGCAAUUUAAGGAGCCAAAAAUGGAGAAAAAUGAAAAAUCACUCACCUUGGAACAAUGAAGCACGCGACCUAGAGAGGAAAAGCAAGGUGAAUAGUGUUUUAUGCAUGAAAAAUGAAGAUGAGAAGGCUUUAAAAAGGGUUUUUGGCCAUGAAAAAAUUUUGAAAAUUUUGUCUAAGUACGGGGAUGAACUGAGGAGUGUUAAAACUACAAAAUUGAAGUUUGAAAAUGAAUUUAAAAAGAAUCAAAUCCUUGGUAAGCAUGAAGAAAAAAUUUCGCAAGGUGAAAAUUCACUACCCCCCUUAAAAACCAAUCCCGAGAGGUUGCAUUUUGAUAUUUGCUUUGAAAACAACUUCGCAAGGUGAAAAAUGACUUGCGAAAUUUUUCGCACUGGUUACUCCUUGCGAAAGUGCAAUCCCGAGAGGUUGCAUUUUCCAUCUUGCCAAAAUGUGCAUUUCGCAAGGUGAAAUUCACUUUGCGAAAUUUUCGCAACUCAACUUUUUGAGUUGUGAAAUGGGCUUUUAAGCUUGGACUUAGAUAUAUUUCUCCCCUACUUCACCUUUCUCUCCACAUUUGUGAGUUUGUGAGCUUUCGUACCCGCUAUUGGACAUCAAAGCUCCAUUAAAAACAUAAAAAAAAAUCAAAAUCAAAACUAAGAAACCUAAACAAAAUAUGUGCAAAAGUAUUAAAAAUGCAAAGUAAACAAGAAUGUAAUACUAAAAUUAAAACAAAAAGAGAUGAGCACUUAGCUUUUCAUGCUAAGCUCAUCAACUUACCACACUUUCUCAAGGAUGUGAUGGGUCAUGGAGGAUGAGUACCUCCUUGUCAUGGGAAAAUGGCUCAAUGUAGGGCUUGAGUCUUUGCCCAUUUACCUUGAAGGUCUUUUCACUUUUUGAGUUGAGUAACUCAAUUACUCCAUGUGAGUGUACUUGGUGGAUGACAAAAGGCCCUACCCACCUUGAUUUGAGCUUUCUCGGAAAUAGGUGAAGCUUAGAGUCAUAUAACAAGACUCUUUGUCCCUUGAAAAAUUCUUUCUUGGUCACCAACUGAUCAUGCCAUCUCUUUAGCUUUUCCUUAGCUAUUUUUGAGUUGAGAUAGGCAUCAUUUCUCAAUUCCUCAAGCUCAUUCAAAUCCAAACUCCUCUUUAGCCCAGCCUUAGUUAAAUCCAUGUUGAGCUUUUUAAUGGCGCACCAUGCCUUGAACUCAAUCUCAACGGGAAGAUGGCAAGCUUUGCCAUAAACAAGACGGUACGGUGACAUCUCAAGGAUAGUCUUAUAAGCCGUCCUAUACGCCCAUAGGGAAUCAAGGAGCUUAACAGACCAAUCUUUCCUAUUGGUGUUCACCACCUUCAUCAAGAUGUUCUUAAUUUCCCGGUUGGCUAGCUCUACUUGGCCACUCGUCUGAGGAUGAUAAGGUGUAGCUACCUUAUGCUUAACUUCGUACUUGGCCAAAAGAGCUUCAAAGGGCUUGUUGUAAAAGUGAGUGCCUCCAUCACUGAUGAUUGCCUUAGACACUCCAAACCUCGAGAAGAUGUUUUCUUUUAGGAACUUGAGAACCACUUUGUGAUCAUUGGUUUUACAGGGUAUAGCUUCAACCCACUUUGAAACAUAAUCAACUCCUACCAAGAUGUAGGAGUGGCCAAAAGACAUAGGGAAAGGUCCCAUGAAGUCUAUGCCCCAAACAUAAAAAAGAUCCACUAUCAAGAUGGGGUUCAAAGGCAUCAUGUUUCUCCUUGAAAGCUUGCCUAGUCUUUGGCACUUAUCACAUCCUUUACUUACCUCAUGGGCAUCCUUAAAAAGUGAGGGCCACCAAAAGCCCGAUUGAAGAACUCUCAUUGCCGUCUUUUGAGAGGCAAAGUGGCCUCCACAUGCAUUCCCAUGGCAAUGAGAUAGGAUCCCAUGCUUCUCUUGUUCAGGCACACACUUCCUUAUAAUUUGGUCCACACAAUACUUGAAGAGAAAAGACUCCUCCUAAUAAUAUGCAUGGACCUUGGCAAAGAAAUUCUUCUUGUCCUGAGAGCUCCAUUCACUUGGUAUUUCUCCUGUGACCAAGUAAUUGGCAAUGUGUGCAAACCAUGGCACUUCCUCCACAAGCAUCAAGGAUUCCUCAGGGAAAUCAUCAUUUAUGGGAAGUCCAUGGGUGUCAUUAGCGAUGUUGAGCCUUGACAAGUGGUCAGCUACCACAUUCUCAACACCUUUCUUAUCUUUGAUCUGGNNNNNNNNNNNNNNNNNNNNNNNNNNNNNNNNNNNNNNNNNNNNNNNNNNNNNNNNNNNNNNNNNNNNNNNNNNNNNNNNNNNNNNNNNNNNNNNNNNNNNNNNNNNNNNNNNNNNNNNNNNNNNNNNNNNNNNNNNNNNNNNNNNNNNNNNNNNNNNNNNNNNNNNNNNNNNNNNNNNNNNNNNNNNNNNNNNNNNNNNNNNNNNNNNNNNNNNNNNNNNNNNNNNNNNNNNNNNNNNNNNNNNNNNNNNNNNNNNNNNNNNNNNNNNNNNNNNNNNNNNNNNNNNNNNNNNNNNNNNNNNNNNNNNNNNNNNNNNNNNNNNNNNNNNNNNNNNNNNNNNNNNNNNNNNNNNNNNNNNNNNNNNNNNNNNNNNNNNNNNNNNNNNNNNNNNNNNNNNNNNNNNNNNNNNNNNNNNNNNNNNNNNNNNNNNNNNNNNNNNNNNNNNNNNNNNNNNNNNNNNNNNNNNNNNNNNNNNNNNNNNNNNNNNNNNNNNNNNNNNNNNNNNNNNNNNNNNNNNNNNNNNNNNNNNNNNNNNNNNNNNNNNNNNNNNNNNNNNNNNNNNNNNNNNNNNNNNNNNNNNNNNNNNGUCCCAUACACAGUUAUGUCAUCCAUGAAGACUUCCAUGAUUCGUUCAACCAUGUCACUGAAGAUGCUAAGUGAUUACUACCAAAAAGUGCUAUUUUGUAGACCUAAUUAUAAUGGUUUUAAGCACCUUUGAGUAGUAAUCAUAUUCAUUUAACCCAAUUAAUUCAUUAAGGUCCUUAGUAAUUGGUUUUAACCAUUUUUGUGGCAAGUUUACAUGUUUUUAUCAGCUUAUGAAUCAAUUCAAGCAUGCCAAAUGAUGGAGGAGCUACUUGAACAAGUUAUGGCAAAGCUUAUGGAAGCUCAAAUUCAUGAAGAAACCAAGCUUUGGAGCCUGAUAGUCCUUUGCCUUAAUCGUUCAAAGUAUGCAAGGAAAGAGCACUGGAGAGAGGAAAACAGAGUGAAGAAAACAGAGGACAAUAGCUGCAGUCUUCUUGCGCACUUUUGGAGCACUUCCCGAAGUCCAUUUUCUACAUGCUAUAUACCAUUUUAAAGCUCAGGAAGUCAAGAAUCCAAUGCUUCAAACGGUACACAAUUCGGAGUUGAAAUGAAGGAGUUACAGCCAUUAAAAAAGAUCACUCCAAGCUGAAGGAAGCAUUUUGCAAAGUGUUGCGGAAUCACCCUUUUGUUGCGAAAUGAUUUCGCAGCCUAUUUGUAUAGUGUUGUGGAUUCCCUCCUGAAGUUGCCCGAUAUAUGCUGCAAAUUGGAAGCUAAGCACCUCAAGAUGAAAGCCAACUUCGCAGCCCUGCGAGAAUAACCUUUUGCUGCGAAGUGAUUUCGCAGCCCUUUUUGUGCGUCUGCGAAAUCUCGCAGACCUCGUUUUCACCUGCGAAAUGGUCCUUAGUGCUUCCCGAUAUUUUUGCACCGACUCUUUUAGAUCUUUUCUUCAGAUAUUUUUGUAUAAUUUCCAUUUUCUCCUUGUAUUCAACCACUCAUGUAAUUCCUUAGCUAGGAAGUAUCCAAGGAAGGGUAAAUUACCUUCCUAUAUAAACUCUCUUGCAUCCAAUGUAAUAUAGAAUCAUGUAGGAUCGAUCAAUAUAUAGAUAUAUCAUAUAUAGAAUCAACGAACAGAGCACUUGCUCUGUUUUUCAUAUAUAUUCUUGUUUUCUCGUUAGUUUUCUUUCUAGCCAACCAAACUCUGAGGAUUUUUCCUAAGAGGACGAGAGGCUAAGAUUUUUGUCUCUUGGAGUAAGGAAAGCCGGGUAAGUUUCCACAUGUAUAAUUUGGAAGUUUUGUUGUUUUAGUUUUUAAUGAAGAGAAAGUGUGACCCGUUAAUGGUUUUUAUCUUUUUAGUUAACUUAAAACGCCUUUAAAGCACCUGGGCCAACACUUGGUAAGGCAAGUGAUCUCCAUCCAUGGAGAUUCACUAGUUUAUCUCUUGCGAGCCUUUGGGAGGUGGUUUGAAGGUAGGAUUUUCUAGAAUAGCCAACACUUGGUAAGCUUUUGGACUCCAAGGAGACAUCCAUUAGUUAUCUCUUGCGAGCUUUUGACGGGUAAUCCAAGGUUAAAGAUCACCUUGAAUGGCAAGUGCUAGGUGAGAGGUAUGAGCCAUUGCAAGAUGCAUCAGUGAGAGGGAUUUAGUGUUUGAACCCAUUAAUGGGAAGCAUCUGUACAACACCGGUUGGAGAAUGAACUAUAUGUUAAUUCUCUAAUGCGAGGAAAAGAAACAAGUGACCGGAACUCCAUUUUUGUAUGAGGAAUCUGAGCCUAGUGAUCUGAAACUCCAAGAAACAUUUUUCUUUGUAAGUAAAAUCAGUUACUAUUUUUGGUUAGUUUAAAACUAAACCUUUUUCAUUUAAACAUCUUUAUGUUUUCUUUUAAAGCUAACCUUGAAAUGAAAAGACACCAAUUCAGCUUUGAAUUAAUAUCAUUUGCAAAGUGAAAACCCAUCCCAGUGAACGAUCCUAGAGCCGCUAUGCUAUAGUAGCUUUGUCUUUGCUACCCUAGUAUAUGGUGUAAUAGGUUAUAAAUUUUGUUGAUUACUCCCUCAAUCAAGGAGCACCAGCUGGACACAAAUCAGCUGAGACACCAAUUGGGCACGAAUCACUAAGCAUGCAUCUUUGGAAGGUAGCAGGAGCGUUGCAUAAUCCAAAAGGCAUUCGCUUAUAAGCAUAGGUGCCGAAUGGACAAGUGAAGGUAGUCUUCUCCUGGUCCUCCACGUCAAUCUCUAUUUGAAAAUACCCGGAAUACCCAUCCAAGAAGCAAUAAAAAGGAUGCCCAAAUACUCUCUCAAGGACUUGAUCCAUGAAAGGUAAAGGGAAGUGAUCCUUUCUCGUUACUGUGUUCAGCUUCCUGUAGUCAAUGCACACCCUCCAACCAGUUGUGAGGCGUGUGGACACUUCAUCUCCAUUUUCCCCCUUGACUACGGUUAUCCCAGACUUCUUUGGAACAACUUGGGUUGGACUCACCCAAGUGCUAUCUGAAAUGGGGUAAAUGAUGCCCGCUUGAAGAAGCUUCAACACUUCAGCCCUUACUACCUCUUGCAUAUGAGGAUUCAAUCUCCUUUGUGGCUGACGAGUUGGCUUAGCUCCCUCCUCCAUAUAAAUAUGGUGCGUGCAAAUCAAUGGGCUUAUCCCCUUCAAAUCAGAAAUUUACCAUCCGAUGGCCUUCUUGUGCUUUCUAAGGAUUCUUAGAAGAUUGUUCUCUUGUGAAACGAUUAAAGAAAAAGAAAUUACCACCGGGGCUUUAUUUCCUUUCUCCAAGUAAGCAUACUUCAACUCGGCAGGAAGGGUCUUCAAUUCAAGCUUAAGGAUUGCAUCCUUAGCUUCUUUCAUCUCUUCCUCAUCCUUGAACAAAGGGAGGAUCAAUGGCUUUUGUCUCCAGUUUGACAUAACGGCAUUAAUUCCCAUGGGUUCAGCUAACCCAUCAUCAAGAUCUUCAUGGCUUUCAUCUGGAUUCUCUUCAAACUGAUCAAGCAUACUCUGAUUACAAUGCUCCUCCACCAGGGUAUCUAUCAUACACACUUCUUCUGGGCCCUCAUCUUCUUCAGGAUGGAUGUGCUUUUGACAUAGAUGGAAGAUGUUGAGUUCCAAUGUCAUAUUCCCAAAAGUGAGUUGCAUGACCCCAUUCCUACAAUUGAUGAUUGCAUUGGAUGUUGCAAGGAAUGGUCUUCCAAGGAUGAUUGGAACAUAGUUGAUCCCUUUGACAAUGGGAUCCGUAUCAAGCACCACAAAAUCUAAUGGAUAGUAGAAUUUGUCAACUUGAACCAAUACAUCCUCUAUUACCCCCCUGGGGAUUUUCACUGAUCGGUCAGCUAAGGAUAGGGUGAUCGAUGUUGGCUUGAGUUCUCCCAACCCCAGCUCCUUGUAUACAGAGUAUGGAAGCAAGUUAACACUUGCCCCCAAAUCAAGCAAUGCCUUCUCCACUUGGGUUCCUCCAAUAUUGACUGAGAUUGUAGGACACCCCGGAUACUUGUAUUUGAUUGGAGACUUGCAUUGGAUUAUAGCACUCACUUGCUCGGUUAGGAAGGCUUGCUUUGUAACAUUGAGUCCUCUUUUCACAGUGCAGAAGUCCUUCAAAAAAUUUGCAUAUGUGGGUACUUGCUUGAUCAUAUCAAGUAAAGGAAUAUUCACCUUCACUUGUCUUAGCACAUCAAGAAUCUCAGAAGCAUUCUUGAUUGGUUUCUUCCCACGCAAGGCUUGAGGAAAUGGAAGAGGCAUGUGCUUCUUCAUCAUGCCUUCCUUUAAAAGGAUUUGAGGUUCCUCAUCCAUGCUAGGAAUGAUGCUUUCUUUCAUCUGAACUUCCUUUCCCUUUUGUUCUUUCUUUUUUUCUUUUUUUCUAUCAGCCUUGUCUUCUUUGGCUUUCCUCUGAUCAUGCUCCGGCUGAUGCACUUCCUUACCACUUCUCAAAGUGAUAAUAGCUUGCACGUCCCUCACCUUUGAAGAAUCCUCAUCUUUGGAUUCCACUUCAUGUAUCCCCUUAGGAUUUUGGUGAGGCUGAGAGGGAAACUUCCCUUUCUCAUUGACAAUGUUCAAAUUUGUGAGCCUUGAGAUGGAAUAUUGGAUGUUGUCAAUUUUCUGAGACAACUCAUUAUGCAUCCCAUCUAUCUUCUUGUUCACUGUACUCUCUACGUUUUCAAUCUUCUGAUUUAGUUGAGAGUUGAUGGAUUUUUGCUCACUCACAAAGUCACCCAUAACCUUGCUAAGGUUUAUGAGUGCUUGCUCAACUGAGGAUUGACCUUGACUCUGUUGGCUUGAUUGGGCUAGUGACUGAUAUGGGUUUAACCUUGGCUUCCAUGCAAAGUUUGGGUGGUUCCUCCAGCUAGAGUUGUAUGUGUUGCCAUAGGGAGCAUUUGAAUUUGGCUUCCAUUGGCCAAUCAGGUUAGCUUGUUCCCCGAACAUUUCUCUUGCUGCUGGAAUGGUGGGACAUUCUUCCACCAUAUGUUCAAAUGACUGACAGAUGGAGCAAGGAUUGGCUUGUUGUUGAGGUUCUGAAAUAGCUUGGACUUCGUGAACUUUUCUCAACUCCAUUUCCUCUAUUUUUCUAGCCAUGGCAGCUACCUUGGCUUUCAUCUCCAUGUCUUCACUCAGAUUGUACAUUCCUCCUCUUGCCAUUCGCUGAACUAGCCUCUUCCCCAUUUCUCUGCUAUUGGGCUCAUCCCAUCCACGGGAAACCUGAUUCAUGCCCAAUUGGUGUCUCAACUGAUUCAUGUCCAGCUGGUGCUCCUUGAUUGAGGGAGUAAUCAACAAAAUUUAUAACCUAUUACACCAUAUACUAGGGUAGCAAAGACAAAGCUACUAUAGCAUAAUGGCUCUAGGAUCGUUCACUGGGAUGGGUUUUCACUUCACAAAUGAUAUUAAUUCAAAGUUGAAUUGGUGCCUUUUCAUUUCAAGGUUAGCUUUAAAAGAAAACAUAAAGAUGUUGGAAUGAAAAAAAGUUUGGUUUUAAACUAACCAAAAAUAGUAACUGAUUUUACUUACAAAGAAAAGUGUUUCUUGGAGUUUCAGAUCACUAGGCUCAGAUUCCUCAUACAAAAAGGGAGUUCCGGUCACUUGUUUCUUUUCCUCGCAUUAGAGAAUUAACAUAUAGUUCCUUCUCCAACUGGUGUUGUACAGAUGCUUCCCAUUAAUGGGUUCAAACACUAAAUCCCUCUCACUGAUGCACCUUGCAAUGGCUCAUGUCUCUUACCUAGCACUUGCCAUUCGAGAUGAUCUUUAACCUUGGAUUACCCGUCAAAAGCUCGCAAGAGAUAACUAAUGGAUGUCUCCUUGGAGUCCAAAAGCUUACCAAGUGUUGGCUAUUCUAGAAAAUCCUACCUUCAAACCACCUACCAAAGGCUCGCAAGAGAUAAACUAGUGAAUCUCCAUGGAUGGAGAUCACUUGCCUUACCAAGUGUUGGCCUAGGUGAUUUAAAGGCGUUUUAAGUUAACUAAAAAGAUAAAAACCAUUAACGGGUCACACUUUCUCUUCAUUAAAAACUAAAACAACAAAACUUCCAAAUUAUGCAUGUGGAAACUUACCCGGCUUUCCUCACUCCAAGAGACAAAAAGCUUAGCCUCUCAUCCUCUGUGGAAAAAUCCUCAGAGUUUGGUUGGCUAGAAAGAAAACUAACGAGAAAACAAGAAUAUAUAUGAAAAGCAGAGCAAGUGCUCUGUUCGUUGAUUCUAUAUAUGAUAUAUCUAUCUAUCUAUCUCGUCGGAUUACAUCAUUAUAUGAUGAUAUUCUCUGAGAACAAGCUUCCGAGAGCUAUAUAUAAAGAAAAUUACAAAACAAAAUAUCUGAGGUUAUUCACCCCUUUUCCAAACUUAAUAACUAAGGAAUCCUAUAAUUGGUGGGUUGCAAGGAGAAUCUGGGGAUUUAGACAACAAAAAUCUAAAGCAAAAUAUCCAAAAGUGUCGGUCGCAAAUAUCGGGAAGCACUAAGGACCAUUGAUUACUACCAAAAAGUGCUAUUUUGUAGACCUAAUAAUAAUGGUUUUAAGCACCUUUGAGUAGUAAUCAUAUUCAUUUAACCCAAUUAAUUCAUUAAGGUCCUUAGUAAUUGGUUUUAACCAUUUUGUGGCAAGUUUACAUGUUUUUAUCAGCUUAUGAACCAAUUCAAGCAUGCCAAUUGAUGGAGGAGCUAUUUGGGCGAGUUAAGUGAUUACUACUCAAAACAUGCUAUUUAGUAGCUUGUAAUUAUCUCUUUUAAACACCCUUGAGUAGUAAUUAUUACCUUUUAACUCAAUUAACAUGUUAGGGACCCUUGCAAUCGUUUCUAACAAUUGUGUUAAGUUUUGGUGCUUUUUGAUAGCUUUAUGCUCACCAAAGCAAUUUAUGAAUGAGGGAGAGCUAUAUAUGGUUCAUGGCAAAGCUUUUGGAAAGCUUAAAUUUAUGAAGAAACCAAGCUUUGGAGCCUCAUAAUCCUUUGCCUUAGUAGUUCAAAGUAUGCAAGGAGAGAACAAUGGAGAAGAGGAAAACAGGGUGAUGAAAACAAGGGACACAGCUGCAGUCUUUCAUUGCACUUUUGGAGCACUUCCCGAAGUCCAUUUUUUACAUUCUAUAUACCAUUUCAAAGCUCAGAAAGUCAAGAAUCCAACGAUUCAAACCAUGUACGAUUUGGAGCUGAAAUGAGGAAGAUAGGGCCUUCGGAAGACAACUGCAUCAAGCUGAGGGACAAUUUCGCACGAUGGAAAUCAAGGUGCGAAUUCCUCAGUCCAAAGUGUGGGAAUUUCGCACACCUCAAACCAAAGUGCGAAAUUGGAAAUCCAACGUGCGAAAAUUGGAUAUUUUUGCCGACUCUUUUUCUUCUGAUAUUUUUGUGUCUAAAUUUCCAUUUUCUCCUUGUAUUCAACUACUCAUGUAAUUCCUUAGCUAGGAAGUAUCCAAGGAAGGGUAAAAUUACCUUCAUAUAUAAAUUCUCUUGUAAACACUGAAAAAACACUCGGGAGCUUUCUCCAGGAGACGAACUGAUGUAAAUUCUACACUAAGUGAAAUACAGAGAUUUCUUUUGCUUUCUUUUUCUCUCUACUAUUUUCUAUUUUCUUGGAAGCCAAACAGCCUCUGAGGAUGUUUUCCCAGAGGAUGAGAGGCUAAACUUAUAGUUUCUUGGAGUGAAGGAAGCUAGGUGAAAAGUCCAGAUUAAAAGGUGGAAAGUUUCCGUGCAUUAAAUUCAGGUAGUUGGAAUCCAUAAAUGGCUUCUAAACCCAAAGUUUUGCUUUAAAUCCCUUAGAAUCACUUUGACUGGCCAAUACAUGGUAAGCUUCAGGUCUCUGUGGAUGCUUAUUGCUAGAUCCAUAUCAGUCCAUUAGUUAUCAUGUACGAGCCAGUGGAAAGUAAUUCAAGGUGAUAACCCAUAGUGUCUUAAGCCAUUAAUGGACCUUGACUACCAUCUCUAUUGACUUUUUAUGGAUUAAAUCUUCAUUGUCAAACCUAUACCGGUUCGGGAAAUAACUAUAGGUUAAAUCCCCAAUGCGAGGAGAAAAAUCCGGAAUUUUCCACUUUGCAUCCUGAACUUGAACCUAGCAACCUUUAGCUCCAGAAAACUUUCUUUCUUCCACUUUUACUUAGGUCUAUGUGAGUUUAGUUUCAAUCACUACUUUCAAAACAAUUUUAUUUUCUUUUAAAUUUCAAGUUUGUGCUAAAAGAAAUCAUCAGAAUCACUUUCUAAUUUAGAGUCUGUCACUGAUAGAGUGAAAACCCAUCCCUGAGUUCGACCCUAGAACUGCUAUACUAUAGUAGCUUUGCUACGCCAGUAUAAGGUCAUAGGAUUUAUAAAUAUUUUUGAUUAAAAUACCCGGCUUGGCACGAAUCAUUAAGCAAGGAUUUUGGAUGAUUACAGGCUUGAAUUUCAAGUGGAAACACGAGCACAAGCAAUGGAGAAGAGGAAAACAGAGUGAAGAAAACAGCUGCAGUCUUAUUUCACACUUUUGAAGCACUUCCUGAAGUCCAUUUUUUGCAUACUAUAUACCAUUUGAAAGCUUAGGAAGUCAAGAAUCCAACACUUCAAACCGUGUAUGAUUUGGAGCUGAAAUGAGGAAGAUAUAGCCUUUGGAAGACAACUGCAUCAUGUCAAAUGACCAAUUUCGCAAGGAGAUUUUCUUCAUGGUGCGAAAUUUGGCCACUUCGCACCAUGAAGAACCCCCUUGCGAAAAUUUCGCAAGGUGGAUUUAGGCACAUUGCGAAAUUCCUUUGAAUCCUUUGUUUCUCCACGCACGCACCACCGACUUCCCAAAUAUUUUUAGCUUGAUAUUUUCUCGUGUAAAUUCCUUUUGUAACCUUGUAUUCAGCCGACAUAAAGCUUUAUCUUGUAAUUUUGCUAUAUAUAGAGGUGCACAACACCUCCAAAACAUGGGGGGAUAUAUUGGGGAUCGAUCCUCUGUACAUUAACUUAGAAAUAUAUAAAGCUUUGUUUUUCUCUCUUCUCCUGUUCUUCCCCAUUUCUAUUUUCUUAGUAGCCAAACAGCCUCUGAGGGCUUUUCCUCAGAGGAUGAUUGGCUAAAACUUUUAGUUUCUCAAAGUAAGGAUGUUAUGUGAUGGCUUGGAUGCAAUCCCAUGGAAAUUUCUCGCACCUGGAAGGUAAGGUAGUCGUUUUUCAUUAAGGGUUCAUUAAUGCAAAGUUUGGUUUUUAUUUCCUUUGGACAACUUCCAACGGCCAAUACUUGAUAAGCUUUUGGAUUUCUAUCCAUUAGUUAUCUCCUACGAGCUAUNNNNNNNNNNNNNNNNNNNNNNNNNNNNNNNNNNNNNNNNNNNNNNNNNNNNNNNNNNNNNNNNNNNNNNNNNNNNNNNNNNNNNNNNNNNNNNNNNNNNNNNNNNNNNNNNNNNNNNNNNNNNNNNNNNNNNNNNNNNNNNNNNNNNNNNNNNNNNNNNNNNNNNNNNNNNNNNNNNNNNNNNNNNNNNNNNNNNNNNNNNNNNNNNNNNNNNNNNNNNNNNNNNNNNNNNNNNNNNNNNNNNNNNNNNNNNNNNNNNNNNNNNNNNNNNNNNNNNNNNNNNNNNNNNNNNNNNNNNNNNNNNNNNNNNNNNNNNNNNNNNNNNNNNNNNNNNNNNNNNNNNNNNNNNNNNNNNNNNNNNNNNNNNNNNNNNNNNNNNNNNNNNNNNNNNNNNNNNNNNNNNNNNNNNNNNNNNNNNNNNNNNNNNNNNNNNNNNNNNNNNNNNNNNNNNNNNNNNNNNNNNNNNNNNNNNNNNNNNNNNNNNNNNNNNNNNNNNNNNNNNNNNNNNNNNNNNNNNNNNNNNNNNNNNNACCAUUUCGCAGGUGAAAACGAGGUCUGCGAGAUUUCGCAGAUGCACAAAAAGGGCUGCGAAAUCAUUUCGCAACAAAAGGCUAAUCUCGCAGUGCUGCGAAGUUGGCUUUCAUAUUGAGGUGCUCAGCUUCCAGCGUGUCGCAUAUAUCGGGUAACUUCAGGAGGAAUUUCAAAACACGGUACAAAAAGGCUGUGAAAUCAUCUCGCAACAAAAGGGUGAUUUCGCAACACUUUGCAAAUUUCUUCCUUCAGCUUGGAGUGAUUGGCUUGCAAUGGCUGUAACUCCUUCAUUUCAACUUCGAAUUGCUCACCGUUUGAAGCAUUGGAUUCUUGGCUUCCUGAGCUUUGAAAUGGUAUAUAGAAUGUUGAAAAUGAACUUCAGGAAGUGCUCCAAAAGUGGCUGACAUGACUGUCAUCAAGAAUGCUUCAUGGCAGAUUUCUCUUUGCUUCCCCUCCUUGCAUUCCGGAUUUGCUGAUGGCAAAGGACUUCAAAGGUUCAGUUCUUCAUGUUUCUGAGCUUUCCAUUGCUUUUCCAUGGAUUCCAAAUAACCCUCCUCAAUCUUGGAUUGCUUUGGUGAUCAAAAAGCUAUCAAAACACCAAAACUUAACACAAUUUGAUUAAAAUUGAUUGCAAGGGUCCUUAACAUGUUAAUUGGGUUAAAAGGCAAUAACUACUACUCAAAAGUGGUUAAAAGAGUUAAUUACAAGCUAUCAAAUAGCACUUUUUGAGUAGUAAUCACUCCCCCCAACCGACAUAUUGCUAGUCCCUUAGCAAUGAAGGAGAGAAAAAUAAAAAUAAAAAGUACUAUAAUUUACAACAUCAUGCUGAUCAAAAAACAAUUUUCAAGUGGCAUGAUGAUCUAACUCUCACAUGGAACAUUAAAGAAAUAAAACUCAAACUUCAACAAGAGUUAUCAAAUAACUUGUCUAAUCACAAUUCUUAAAGAGAAGGCAUUAUGCAAAUUGAAGCUUUAAAAUCAUUUCCACUUCCAAAGGACCAAACCUUACUCUUCCACAAAAAUCUAAGUGUUAUUUAUUAGUUUCCGAAUAUAGUAUGUGGAACUAAUCUCUCCCCUCAACCUAGUUUUUUUUUUUUCAAAGCUUAGCAAGCUGAUCAACCUCCAAUAGGCUAAGAACGCACCUCUUUUCUCACUAUUUUUUUUUUCAUUGUAGGAGUACAAGGCUUAAAGGUAUUCUUUUCUAAAUUGUCCAUGUAACGGGGGUCCAUCGAUGACUCCCAACCAAUUAAGGUUUAGGGCAUCAAGCUUUAAGGAUCUUUCAACCACUAACUCCUCGGAUUUUACCCCGGACUUUUGAGAAUGAAUUUUAAUACCCAAGCACCUACAGUAUGUUAAACUCCACCUAUCCACCCUUGUAACGAGCAUUGAGGUCGGUGACUCCCAACCAAUUAAGGCUUAGGGCACCAGGUUUUAAAGAUUUUCACCAUAUACCCCUCAGACCUUGCUCGGGUUUCAAAGCAAGCAAACAUUUUUUCUUUCUUUCUUUUUUUUCUUCAAAGACUCAUUGGCCUUUUAUAAGGUGUCCAACACUAUUAAAUGAGGUCAAAGGUACCAAGUCUAAAAUUUUCCUAAGUCAAGAGGGAAAUAGUUUUUCAUCUUAUAAUCGGAACCUAUUGUGCACAGUGUGUGAAUAGGUUAAAGUGGAAGAACUAAUGUUAAAUUCAAAAGAAGUUUCAACAAUUCAUCAACUUUAAUAAGCAUAAUACAAAAUCUAAGUCAAGUAAAAAGACAAAAAUUCAAUUUCUCCCUUUUCAUUUUGAAAAUUUUUCCUUAAUAACCAUGGAGAGUAGAAUAAAAACUUUAAAAAAUUUUAAAUUAAGCAAAAAACAACUAAAUUACCAAAAUAACUUAGCAUUAUUAACAAUACUUACUUCCUCAACUCUCUCCCCCCAACCAAGCUGAACAUUGUCCUCAAUGUGACAAAAGCGAUUGAAAAAUAGGGAGGAAGUGGUACCUCCUGAGUGACAUGGAGUCUGAGUCGUAUAGGAGAAACCACAUGUUUCAAAGAAAACAUAAGAGUUAGUGAGUAGAGGAAAUAGAAAAAUGCCAAGUUUGAACAAAAAUGAUGUCUAUAUAUGAUGUAUCAUCAGUAAUACAUCCAAUCCAAGAAUGUAAGACAUCAAAACAUGGAAUUAUUUAUACUAAUAUAAUAUGUAAAGACAAAAAGUAAAGAGAUGAUCAAGUAAUGGUAAGGUCCUGUGGAGCUGAUGCAUCUGUGGUGGCCUCUUGAGUGGGUUGGAUCAGGACUUUGACCUUUGCUUUGGUAGUCUUCUUAGAUGGCAUAGUCUCCUCAACUGGAGCUCUCAGCUGGUGCUAUGGGCUCUGAUGGUUUUAGGAGGUCAGAAAUGGAGUGAGAGGCUUGGUGUGUGUGAUCCCAGGGUGCGCGGGGCUCUAUUGGCAUUUUCACAACUUCCCUUGGCUUUGCAAGGUGUUUUUGCAAACCUUCCUCCAUUUCGCAAGUCAAUUUCGCAAUUUGAAGGGUAUUUCGAUGCUUGGAGGUGAUUUUGCAGCCAUUUCAAAGCUUGGAGAUCAUUUUGCAGCCAUUUCAAAGCUUAAAAGUGAUUUCGCAUCCCAAAAUUGAUUUCGCAGCCCAUUUUGCAGCUGCAAAAUGAGUGUACGGGGACUUCGAAAUGGCUCUCUUGUACCAAAAAGUGGUUUCGCAGCUCAAAGGUGAUUUCGCAGCUGUAUCACAGCUUCGAAAUGAGGGGAACUGUGCUGCAAAAUGGCACUCGUGUGCCAAAAAGUGGUUUCGCAGCUGCGAAACACCCUUCCAAAUGGUGUCUCGGCUGCGAAAUUCUCGCUCAGCUUUGUGCGCUUGUCUUCAAAUGGCCAUAACUUCUUCGUUUCAACUCCAAAUUAUGCACCGUUUGAAGCUCUAGACUCCUGACUUCUCAAGCUUUGAAACAAGAUAUGGUAUGCAUAAUUUGAGCUCCAGGAAGUGAUUCAAAAAUGUGUCCAAUAGUAGCAAAAUGGAGGUGCGACAUUUCCGCUCAUGGUUUGCACAGUCAUCUUCAAAUGGCCAUAACUUUUCCGUUUCAAAUCCAAAUCGAGCACCGUUUGAAGAUAUGGACUCCUGACUUCCCAAUAUUUGAAACAAGAUAUUGCAUUCAUAAUUUGAACUUCGGGAAGUGAUCGAGAUGUGUCCAACAAUUGCCGAAAUGGGGGUGCGGCUGUGACAUGUCAGCUCAUGGUGUGCGCGCUGAAGGAUUUUAAGGUGUCGAGGUUUCGCAGCCAUUUCGCAGCUGCGAAAUGAGUGUACGGGGCUUCCAAAUGGCAUUCGUGUGCCAAAAAGUGGUUUCGCAGCUGCGAAAUACUCUUCAAAAUGGAGCUUUGGCUGCGAAAUUGGGAUUUUUCACGUUUUGGGACUUCGCAGCCAUUUCGCAGCUGCGAAAUGGGAGUCACUGUGCUGCGAAAUGGCACUCGUGUGCCAAAGUUGGUUUCGCAGCUGCAAAAUCCUCUGCGGAAUGGAGCUUUGGCUGCAAAAUCAGGAAUUUUCACGCUUUGUAGCUUCGCAGCCGUUUCGCAGCUGCGAAAUGGGGGUCACUAUGCUGCGAAAUGGCACUCGUGUGCUAAAGUUGGUUUCGCAGCUGCGAAAAUUUUUGCAAAGAGGGGCCUGAGGCUGCAAAAUGGUUUCGCAGCAAAGUAUCGAUUUCGCAGAGGCUGCGAAAUCUCACAGAUCCCUGUUUUUGCCCUGUUUUUGCUCCGUUUUCGCUCCGAUUUUUGCUCCGAUUUCGCUCCGAAAGACUUCCUUCAAUUUCUUUGCAAUUCCUCCUGAUUUUGAUCAUCCAAAAACCUAUAUUACAUCAAAACAAAUUAGAAUUAAAGCAUUGAAAUCAAAAUUAAAGCAUUGAAAUCAAAAUUAAAGCAUUGAAAUCAAAAUUAAAAUAAGUAAAAAAAACAAAACAAAAAGAUAUGGACUAGGUAGUCUUUAAAAAGACUAAGUCCAUCAAAAAAUUUGAUCCUGAUUUAGCUUGCCCGGAUCCCAUAUGAAGUUUGCAUCUCUCACUUGGGACUUGGUUUGUAUGAUUUUCUCAUACAAAGCUUGGAGAAAAAGUGGAGGCACGUGUUUCUUCAUCAAUUCUUUCUUGAUGACUAUCCUCUGUGGUUUUUCAUCUAUACUAAGAUCAUAACCAUCUUUUUCUAUGCUUUUCCCCUUUUUCUUUCCUUUGAUUUCCUCCCUCUUUUCUUUCUCUGUUUCACUCUCUACCUUAUGCUCUAGCUUGCAUGUGGGCAGAUCAACCUCUUUACCACUCCUCAAAGUGAUCACUUCUUCAAUUUCCUUCACCAUUGAAGAUUCUCCCUCUUGAGCCUCCACUUCAUGGAUACUCAUGGAAUUUUGAUAAGGUUGAGAAGGAGAGUUUUCUUUCUCUUGCACUGUGUUCAAAUUUGUGAGCCUUGAAAUUGAAUAUUGGAUGUUAUCAAACUUUUGGGCCAUAUCAUUUUGCAUUUCAUCCAUCAUUUUAUUCAAAGUACUCUCCAUUCUGUCAAUUCUUUGAUUGAGUUGAGCAUUGAUGGCUUUUUGAGCUCCAACAAAGUCUUCCAAAACCUUGGUAAGAUUCACUAUAGCUUGUUCAAGGUUUGAGGCUUGCUGUGGUGCUUGAGCAGGUUGCUGAUACUGAGGUGGCUGUGGUUUCCAAGAGAAAUUUGGAUGGUCCCUCCAAUUGGAAUUGUAGGUGUUGCAAUCACCAAACAUUUCCCUCAUGGCUGGAAUGGUAGGACACUCUUCCCCCAAGUGCUCAUAAGAUAGACAAAUGGCACAAGGCAUAGCUUGCAAUGGUGUCUGAGAGAUGGCUUGCACUGGUUGCAUAUUCGUCAUUUCUAGCUUUUCCAAUCUCCUUUCCAUAGCUGCAAUCUUUGCCCUCAUGUCUAUGCUGUCAUUUAAAAUAUACAUCUCACUCUUAGCAUUAUGUUGAGACGUCAUUCUUCCCAUAUCUCUAGCAUUUGGUUCAUCCCAUCCUCUUGAAACUUCAGCCACAUAACUCAUGAAGUUCAUGGCUUCCUCUGCUAUCUCGUAUUCAAUAUGGUAUGCACAACUAGCAAUUUGUGAAUUAAAAACAGAGAACACAAAAGAAAACAAAAGAAAAAUGAUUCUAAGGAAAAAAAUUAAGGUAAACUAAAAACUAAAUAAAAGAUAUACUAAAACAUGAACAAUAAAGAAAUAAAUAGAGUUAGUAAAAUGAAAAGAAAAGUCACCAAACUUGUGAUGAAGAUCACAAGUACUCUAGAAAGGUGAUAUCACUGUAAAGUGGCACCAUCCCCGGCAACGGCGCCAUUUGAUUCAUGCCCAAUUGGUGUCUCAGCUGAUUCAUGUCCAGCUGGUGCUCCUUGAUUGAGGGAGUAAUCAACAAAAUUUAUAACCUAUUACACCAUAUACUAGGGUAGCAAAGACAAAGCUACUAUAGCAUAGUGGCUCUAGGAUCGUUCACUGGGAUGGGUUUUCACUUCACAAAUGAUAUUAAUUCAAAGUUGAAUUGGUGCCUUUUCAUUUCAAGGUUAGCUUUAAAAGAAAACAUAAAGAUGUUGGAAUGAAAAAAAAAGUUUGGUUUUAAACUAACCAAAAAUAGUAACUGAUUUUACUUACAAAGAAAAGUGUUUCUUGGAGUUUCAGAUCACUAGGCUCAGAUUCCUCAUACAAAAAGGGAGUUCCGGUCACUUGUUUCUUUUCCUCGCAUUAGAGAAUUAACAUAUAGCUCCUUCUCCAACCGGUGUUGUACAGAUGCUUCCCAUUAAUGGGUUCAAACACUAAAUCCCUCUCACUGAUGCACCUUGCAAUGGCUCAUGCCUCUCACCUAGCACUUGCCAUUCAAGAUGAUCUUUAACCUUGGAUUACCCGUCAAAAGCUCGCAAGAGAUAAACUAGUGAAUCUCCAUGGAUGGAGAUCACUUGCCUUACCAAGUGUUGGCCUAGGUGAUUUAAAGGUGUUUUAAGUUAACUAAAAAGAUAAAAACCAUUAACGGGUCACACUUUCUCUUCAUUAAAAACUAAAACAACAAAACUUCCAAAUUAUGCAUGUGGAAACUUACCCGGCUUUCCUCACUCCAAGAGACAAAAAGCUUAGCCUCUCAUCCUCUGUGGAAAAUCCCUCAGAGUUUGGUUGGCUAGAAAGAAAACUAACGAGAAAACAAGAAUAUAUAUGAAAAGCAGAGCAAGUGCUAUGUUCGUUGAUUCUAUAUAUGAUAUAUCUAUCUAUCUAUCUAUCUAUCUCGUCGGAUUAUAUCAUUAUAUGAUGAUAUUCUCUGAGAACAAGCUCCCGAGAGCUAUAUAUAAAGAAAAUUACAAAACAAAAUAUCUGAGGUUAUUCACCCAUUUUCCAAACUUAAUAACUAAGGAAUCCUAUAAUUGGUGGGUUGCAAGGAGAAUCUGGGGAUUUAGACAACAAAAAUCUGAAGCAAAAUAUCCAAAAGUGUCGGUCGCAAAUAUCGGGAAGCACUAAGGACCAUUUCGCAUGUGAAAAUGAGGUCUGCGAGAUUUCGCAGAUGCACAAAAAGGGCUGCGAAAUCAUUUCGCAACAAAAGGCUAAUCUCGCAGUGCUGCGAAGUUGGCUUUCAUCUUGAGGUGCUCAGCUUCCAGCGUGUCGCAUAUAUCGGGUAACUUCAGGAGGAAUUUCAAAACACUGUACAAAAAGGCUGCGAAAUCAUCUCGCAACAAAAGGGUGAUUUCGCAACACUUUGCAAAUUUCUUCCUUCAGCUUGGAGUGAUCGGCUUGCAAUGGCUGUAACUCCUUCAUUUCAACUCCGAAUUGCUCACCGUUUGAAGCAUUAGAUUCUUGGCUUCCUGAGAUUUGAAAUGGUAUAUAGAAUGUAGAAAAUGGACUUCAGGAAGUGCUCCAAAAGUGGCUGACAUGACUGUCAUCAAGAAUGCUUCAUGGCAGAUUUCUCUUUGCUUCCCCUCCUUGCAUUCCGGAUUUGCUUAUGGCAAAGGACUUCAAAGGUUCGGUUCUUCAUGUUUUUGAGCUUUCCAUUGCUUUUCCAUGGAUUCCAAAUAACCCUCCUCAAUCUUGGAUUGCUUUGGUGAUAAAAAAGCUAUCAAAACACCAAAACUUAACACAAUUUGAUUAGAAUUGAUUGCAAGGGUCCUUAACAUGUUAAUUGGGUUAAAAGACAAUAACUACUACUCAAAAGUGGUUAAAAGAGUUAAUUACAAGCUAUCAAAUAGCACUUUUUGAGUAGUAAUCAAAACCUCUGAGACAUAACUUAGGAAAUCCAUAGCCUCCUCAGGGUUCUUGCUCAUGAAAUCACCCCCACACAUUGUCUCCAAUAUCUGCUUCAUUGAAGAUGACAUGCCAUCAUAAAAAUAGCUCACCAAAAGCCAUGUAUCAAAUCCGUGGUGAGGACAUGCAUUGAUGGCCUCCAUAUACCUCUCCCAGCGUUCAUAAAAUUUUUCAUUCUCACGUGCUGAGAAGUUGGAGAUUUGUCUCUUCAAUCCAUUUGUUCUAUGAGUAGGGAAAAACUUCUUCAAAAAAUCAGCUUGAAGUUCUGUCCAUGUUCUUAUGCUUCUCGGCUUCAAGGAAUUGAGCCAUAUCUUGGCUUUGUCCUUUAAUGUGAAUGGAAAGAGCUUCAACCUCAUAAGCUCAAUAACUGUUUCCCCUUCUUGAAAAGUAUUGCACACAUCUUCGAAUUCCUUUAUGUGCGCAUAUGGAUUUUCACUUUCCAUCCCAUGGAAAGUAGGAAGCAGAGGCACAAUGUGUGGCUUGAUAAUCAAUUGCUCUGUAGGAGGAAUGAUGCAAGAUGGUGCACUCAUCCUCGGAGGGUGCAUCCUGUCCCUCAUGGACCUAUACAAGUUCGGAUCAUUCCCCUGCCCGUGUUGUGAAUGUUGAUCCUCUGGCUGAUUCUCCAUGACUUUCCAAAAAAUCUCNNNNNNNNNNNNNNNNNNNNNNNNNNNNNNNNNNNNNNNNNNNNNNNNNNNNNNNNNNNNNNNNNNNNNNNNNNNNNNNNNNNNNNNNNNNNNNNNNNNNUAAGGGUAUCAACAAAAUUUAUACCUAAGGUCCUUACACUAAAGUAGCAAAGCUACUAUAGCAUAGUGGCUCUAGGAUCGAACACUGGGAAGAGUUUUUACUUUAACUAGUGAAGUUCGGAGGAUGGAGUGAACUUUUCUUAAUAAAAAUUAGGUUAAGAUGAAAACAUAAAAAGAUGAAGGUGUUGUAAGCUAAACUAACAUGAAAAUAGGUUAAAAGAUGGAAAAAGAAGUUUCUCAAAGCUUUGGAUAGCCAUGCUUAACUCACUGUGUA